GGAACUCGCGGAGGGGCUGCUGGGGGAUUCCAGGAGCGCGCAUGUGUGGACGGCUGGCUGCAGGUGGCCGGGCUGGCUGUAACCCGCCGCUGGACUGGCGCUUUUGUGUCAGGAGGGUUCGGCCUGGCCGCCGUCGCCUGUAAGCUACGAGGAGGAGCUUUACGACUUGGCCGGGAGCAGCAAAGGCCAGACUCUGCGCGAACAGACGCUACGCGCCAACCAGCCGGCACCUGGCGGGCACCAUCGCACGGUGGCGCAGAAGCUCCUCAAUGGCCAGGGCCAGCUGCAGCAGCUGCCGCGCACUAGCCUCACCUGAGCUUGGGCGAAUGUGGAUUGGGAAAGUCGACAUUAAUCAACUCAUUAUUCCUCAUAGAUUUGUAUUCUGCAGAGUAUCCAGGUCCUUCUCACAGAAUUAAAAAGACUGUACAGAGAUACAGGGAGUCCACGGAGCCUCCCCUGCAAGCAUCAGUACAGAAGUCGACAAUCUGGAUGCAAGCCCAGACUGUUUCCAAGAUUGGAUGAAGAGAAUCAAUUGACAAUGCUGUGAAGACAGGGAUUUGGAGCGUGUUGGGGGAGAUAGUGCUGAGCUCCUAGGCGAGUGUCCUUCCCAACGGAUGAAUAUUCAGCAGAGAAUGGAGAGCUUUCUACCAAACCUUCUCUCAAGUCACAGUCAAGUGAUCCAGCAAUUGCAAAAUCACUCUCUUCUAAUGUGUACCAUUUCACUUGGUAGCUCUUUCUGUUGAAUAAAUGAUACUGUAUAUAAUAGGCAGUCAAAUAUUCUAGUAUUUUCUAUGCAAAUGUGUAGAAAAAAGUGUUUGGGGGUAUGAAGUCAGGGUAGGUAGGCUGAAAGAUUAUUUUAUUUAUUAUUUAUAUUUGUUCCUGUAGUGCUCAUGUGAUUUAAAAUAUAAAAAUUAGACAUUUACGUUGGAAAAGUGCAUCAAAACUUGAAAAAUUAAUUUUCAAACAUUUUAUGCUACUGUUGGAGUUAUGAAUGUAACUUGUCUGAAGAAGCUUCCUGAUCAUUGUGCUUCAUUUUCUUCUUAUUUGGACUGUAUAGAUUGUACAGUUUUUAUUUGACAGAUGAACAUUAGCACUGAAGAAGCAAAUUGAAUAAAAUACAGACAUUUAAGUUAAUUUAAAAUGUAAGUUUUAUUUUAUUUUUGGAUGGAGUCUUGACUGCAUCCUGAAAAUAUAGCUGAUGUUUUUAUUACCUUAGCGUAAGCUGUGUAGUCAAAAGAAUAGUGGGAAUAAUCACUGUGUGUGGAUAUUGUUGUUUCCGAGGUAUAUUCUGUCCUAGGCAACUACUAACCAAAGGAUCUUUCAGAAAUGUUCUCCCAAACCACUGCCCAUUGGAUAGCAAAUGCAGUAUCUAUUUUAGAGGAAAUUAUUGCAUCAGAUUAAAAUGGUUAAAUUGUCUUAACAUGCCAGGAUCUUAUCUUUUCAUGAAAACAUUUUUUAUUAACUUUUUUUAAAGGAGGACAACUGCUCUUCAGAUGUUUCCCAUGAGAACUGGAGAUUAAACUUUGAUUUUUCUCCUUUUAUCCUCCCUGACAGAAGCUGUAUAUUUUGAGGAUAACCACUUGGUUAAAAGCAAAAUAGCCUUAAAUAAACACACAUACCUUAAAAUGAAUGAGCAUUUCUGGUGUAGUCUUAGAUUUCACAGUGUCAAACUAACUGGGUUGAGAAAGCCACCAGAAUUUCAUAGCUCAAAGUUCAGGUUUUAUACAGGAUUUAUGUGUCAUGUAGAAUAUUUUGUUUGCUGCAGUUUGAAAUGAUAGUAUCUUCUUCUCUAGGAAACUGAUGUUUAACCGAUAAGUGCAACCAGAUUGCUAACAGGAGCUGCAGGAAAAAAUUUCACCAUUUUGAAUGGGGUUUGUCUUUACCACACAAAAUGUAUGCCUGUAUUAUCGAUUAUGUGAAAAUAUCUAUAAUUGUUAGAAAGAUAAAGCACACGUUUGCCAGGAAAAAUCCAUUUUUUCCAUAUCUCUCUUUGUGCACUGUGGUUUUACAAUUUCCUUUUCAUUUUUAAUGGUGUUUUCUGUUUAAAAAAGCUUAUUUGAAAAAAUUAAACAAAAAUUGUAUACAUUUAUUGUGUACAAUGUAAUAUUUUAAAAUAUGCAUAUAUUUGGAAUGGCUAAAUGUAGCUAAUUUUCAUAUGCAUAAUUAUGAUUUUUGUGGUGAGGACACUUAAAGUCUACUCUCUUAGAAAUUUUCCAGAAUACAAUACUGUACAUUGUUAUUAAUUGUAGUCACCAUAUUGCACAAUAGAACUCUUGGACUUACUACUCCUGUCCAGGUGAAAUUUUGUAUACUUUGACAAACAUGUCUCCAACCUCCACCUCUCUCCCCACCAGUUCCUUGUAACCACCAUUCUACUUUCUGCUUCUGUGAGUUCAACUUCGUUAGAUUCCACAUGUGAUAUUUGUCUUUCUGUGCCUGGCUUAUUUCACUUAACAUAAUGUCCUCCAGGUUCACCCAUGUUUCACAAAUGACAGAGUUUCUUUUUUAAGGCUGAAUAGUAUUCCACUGUGCAUAUAUAUCACAUUUCCUUUAUCCAUCCCUCCAUUGUUGGACAUUUAGGCUGAUUCCAUCUUUUGGCUAUUAUGAAUAAUGCUGCAAUGAACAUGGGAGUGCAGAUAUCUCUUUGACACAUGGAUUUCAUUUCCAUUGGAUAUAUGCGGUAUGCUCAGAGAUGAGAUUGGUGGAUAAUAUGGUAGCUCUUUCCAAAUUUUUUGAAGAAUCUCCAUAUGGGUUUCCAUAACGGAUGUACCAAUUUACAUUCCCAUGUGCAUUAUUUUCUGACAUCGAUAAAGCAGUAGAUCUAUUCAUUUCACAAAACUUUAUUGUAUGCUUACUAUGCAUCAGCAUAAUGGGAGGUGCAUUUGAUACAAAUAAAAGGCACAGUCUUGUUCAGAAGCAGAUAUGAUAACUAUUUAUUAAACAAAGACGGCAGAAGUGGGCAACUGACCACAUGUGAGAAAAGUAACAAGGAGAGUGGAAUCUAGGAUGAUGUAUAUUUUGGCUUGGGCUAUUAAGCUGAUGGGGAAUAUAUAUUUUUUGAAGUGGAAUAUACUGUCACCUUAUUUCUAAGUAGGGUCAAGUUGGAAGCCAAAUAAAACUUUCCAACAUUGGUUCUUCUAGCACGUUAAUAAAAUGUACUUUGUGAUUAUGAGCAGCCGGUUUGAAGAUUGAUUCAUUUCUACUCCUGUUACCUUGAUAAAUAAGAAAUAAAUUUCAUGGACAAGAACUCAUCAUUUGAAAUAGAUGGUAACAGUUGGAUUGUCAUUGAUUACGUGAGGUGAUUUACAGGGAGGUCCAGCACAUGCAUGUAGUGUGCUAAUACUUGCCACGUCUGUUUUCUGUUAAUUAAUACAAAUGUUGUUGUGUAGUUUUUGGUAUUCUGACUCAAAUUGAGAAAAUGUAUACACUUUUAUAUACACAUAUUAAUGUAAAACUUGGACCUGGAAAAGCAGAGAUUUCUAAUAAGUUAGCCAACAUUUUCUUUGAAGAAUUCAAGGUACCCUGAAGUACUUUCUCUAAUGAUUGAAUUGUUAUUGUUGGAGGUCAAUUCUCCACAGACUUUUUGUAUUUCUGCAUCUCUUGUGAGUGAGCAACUAACUGUCCUUCAUUCUGAACUAUCUUUUCAGGGAUAUUUGUGUGGUGAACAGUCUUGGAACAUAGAGCCAGUGUCUCUCUCCGGAGCAAAGGCCAGGCAUGCUCAUUGCCCAUUAUGAAGCAUUCAGAUUCCCUAAAUUAAACAUUCCUCUUCUAUAGCACAAUCAUUGAACAUGUAGAUACCAUCUGGUUCUCUUUUUAUCACUUUACAAAAAUGGAGUCCUGGUUAACUGGUACAAAAAAUGCUAAUACUUUUGCUACUGCUAUUGUCAUGAGUACUAAACUAUUCUUUGUCUGUGACCCAGGAGUCUUGUGUCUUCUACCAGCAUUCAUGAAACUUUUGUCAGGCUAACUGGUUAGUAUCAAGAAGGGUGAACUCUCAGACCCUUUGCAGUUUUUUGUUUGUUUAUUUGUUUGUUUUGUUUUGUUUUGUUUCUUGAGAUGGAGUAGUGCUCUAUUGCCCAGGCUGGAGUGAAGUGGCGUGAUCUCAGCUCACUGCAACCUCUGCCUCUUGGGUUCAAGCGAUUCUCCUGCCUCAGCCUCCCGAGUAGCUGGGACUACAGGCGUGUGCGACCACACCCGGCUAAUUUUUUGUAUUUUUAGUAGAGACGGGGUUUCACCGUGUUAGCCAGGAUGGUCUCGAUCUCCUGACCUCGUGAUCCACCCUCCUCGGCCUCCCAGAGUUCUGGGAUUACAGGCAUGAGCCAUGGCGCCAGGCCUCCUUCACAGUUUUUGAUGGUUAAUGCACUUUAGUGUCUUAUCUUCCAAUCCGUAGACUCUAUUCUACCAUAAAAUAUGAAACAUCCCAACUUUUCCGCAUUGAGAGGAUGGAACUCUAAGUUGCAGAUUGACAUGAUUUGGCUGUGUCCCCACCAAAAUUUCAACUUGAAUUGUAGCUUCCAGAAUUCCCAAGUGUUGUAGGAGGGACCUAGGGGGAGGUAAAUGGAUCAUGGGGACUGGUCUUUCCUGUGCUAUUCUUGUGACAGUGAAUACGUCUCACGAGAUCUGAUGAGUUUAUCAGGGUUUCCUGCUUUUGUUUCUUCCUAAUUUUUCUCUUGCUGCCACCAUGUAAGAAGUGCUUUUCAUCUCCUGCCAUGAUUCUGAGGCCUCCCCAGCCAUGUGGAACUGUUAGUCCAAUUAAGCCUCUAUUUCAUCCCAGUUUCAAGUAUGUCUUUAUCAGCAGUGUCAAAACAGACUGAUACAUAGAUGAAAUAACAAAAAAGUCAAAAACUACUACAUCUGCUUGUCCUUGUGAUUGCAGAUGAAUAUGGUGCCUCACAUUUAUUACAUAUCACGAAUUUUGAAACGUCUCACUGAGAAAUAUUGGAGUGUAAGUGUACAUUUAAAGCAAUGGCUUCUGUGAAAUAUGAAUAUUUGCUAUCACUCAUAGUUCAUUUAUUUUCAGUGAAUUUAACUUUUAUCUAAGCACCAUAAAGAAGUGUUUUGCUUUCUUAUUGUAAUCAAGUUUAUUGAGGUGUUAUUUAUGUGUAAAAGAUUGCAUCCAGUGUACAGUUUUAUGAAUAUUGACAGUUUAACAUGCCUGUAAGAUCACCAUCACCAUCAAGACCCAAAACACUUCCAACACCCCCAAAGGCUUACACGUACCCUUUGACCAAACGGAUUUUGAUAAUGUGUGUAAGCCCUUGAUAUUGAGCAAUUUGUGAAUAAUUUCUACUGAGGAGUUUUUGUUAGUUUCCUAUUUUAUUUACUUUUUUAAUUAUCAGCAUUAAUAUUUUACUCUUUUCCUGGGUUAUUUGCUUUGAUUUCUGUUUUCCUUUUAAGGGUCCUCUUUUUGGUAUUUCCUUCUCUUUCAUAUCCAUUGGAGCAGAAAGACCAAAUAAUAUUUUCAUGAUCUCACAUAAAUGAGAUACAUGGAAUAAAUUUGAAAAAAACAUCAAGAUUAAGUAGCUUCAAAGGAAAAAAAAGUCAUACAAAAAAGAAGGUGGGAAUUAGUGUACUUGAGUAUGGAAAUUGAUUAAGCAGUGAAACUAUGAUGACAAUUAUUUUUGCAAUUCAGUUAUGAAUUAUGCUUAAAAUGUGUACUUUAUUCACUUUAAUUAUGAUGUUUGAUUCUAAAGUUUUUCAUUCUCUCAAUUAUUGAUACAUUUUCUAGGGAAGUCUUUCUCAAGUAUUUGUUUUCAUGUGACUUUUUAUAAUCAUGGCUCUCAAAAUCUAAGGAUGGAUUUUGAACAGCCUAUUUCUCUCAGCAGUGUAAAAUGAGUCACAUGGGUCAUAUUUGUCUUGAGUCCCUUCAAAGACUGGAAUGUGAGUAGAAAUCGCAGAGCAACUUUCCCACAGCACUAAUUGCAUGUGAAGGACAAGACACUUCCAUAUUGUAAUACCAAAUAUAAAAUAGUGCAAAAAAAAGUCUUUGGUUAGAACUGUUCCAUUUGUCAUACGCCUUCUAAUUUAUAAAACAAGAAUUUUCUCUCUUGUCUCACCCGGUUGGAGGAUCAGCUUUAUUUUUCAAAAUUUGGAUGGAAAUCAGUCUUCAGCCUGCCCUAUCUGAAAAGAGAAAAAAUGCUUGCAACUGUUUGAAACACUAUAAAUCGGAAUACUUGAAGUCAGUUAUCUAGGAUUUUUAUAUCACUCCUCUUCCAACUUCCCGCUUCUCACUGAUGAGGAUUUCUUUCUUACUUUGAGGGGAAGAAUACACAGCAACUGUGAAAAUGUAAAAUAAAAUGAAUUCAUCUGA